CUUUAUUGCUGCAACGGAGGCUCUGGCGAAAACCCCCCCACCUGGGAUGGGGAACCCUAGCACUGGGGUUCCGCAUGUGGACGGGGGGGACAAAAAGGGCCUGGGAACCCUAGCUUACCCCAUGGAAGCGGAGCCACUGAGGCGGGGUCCAUACCAGGGGAAGCUAUCAUAAAGGUGGUGCCCCUCGUAACUUCCCACGUAGGGAGGUGCCCCCGCAUGGUGGCGGGGGUGAUCUCCAGGGGAGCCGAGGGAUAUAAAAGUGAUCACUGAUCGGCGGGGCUGGAUGGUUCAUGGUUGCCAUUCAGUGACCGUCGGACCCGCUGUGAGACGCACUCAUGUCUUAGUAGCGGAGCCGGACAGUGAGUCGAGCAAGUGGGUACUUUUAGUACCACUGGUUUUCCCGGGCCGUUCCACUGGCUGUACAAUACAAUAGUUGGUUUCAUUUAUAACCCCUUAAUUCCAAUUGGCUUUUUCCUGAAAUUUUCACUUGAUCACAUGAUCCUAUUCAUUUUUAUUGGAAUUGGGUUAAGCCUGCGGUGCGAAAGCGGGAGCGGGCAGGGGACAAGUUUUUCUUAAAUUUUUUACAAGAGCCCCGACUCAAAAUCUGUCCCUAUCUACUAUCUAGCGAAACCACAGCCAAGGGAACGGGCUUGGAAAAAUCAGCGGGGAAAGAAGACCCUGUUGAGCUUGACUCUAGUCUGACUCUGUGAAGAGACAUGAGAGGUGUAGCAUAAGUGGGAGGCCGUGAACCCUCGCGGUUGUGUCGUGCCGUCAGUGAAAUACCACUACUUUCAUCGUUUCUUUACUUACUCGGUGAAGCGGAAAGCGGACCAUGAGUGUCCACGCUUCUAGCACUAAGUGCAAGGCCCUUCGUUGGCCCGCACGAUCUGUUCCGAGGACAGUGUCAGGCGGGGAGUUUGACUGGGGCGGUACAUCUGUCAAAUGGUAACGCAG
rnacentral:ncRNA from 1 species